GUUGAUCCUGCCAGUAGUCAUAUGCUUGUCUCAAAGAUUAAGCCAUGCAUGUCUCAGUACAGGCCUUUAUACGGUGAAACCGCGAAUGGCUCAUUAAAUCAGCUAUGGUUUAUUGGAUCAUACCCGUUAAAUGGAUAACUGUAAUAACUCUAGAGCUAAUACAUGCCUCGAAGCCCUGACCCGGUCGCCUCGUGCGGCAGGGAAUGGGUGCACUUAUUAGAUCAGAAGCCAACUAGCCGGGUGGUGGUGACGCCCCUCGGCUAAAGCACUUCUGGUGACUCUGGAUAAUUGUUACAGAUCGCAGUCGGCCUUUGAGUCGGCGACGGGUCCUUCAAAUGUCUGCCCUAUCAACUUUCGAUGGUAGGUGACCUGCCUACCAUGGUGAUAACGGGUAACGGGGAAUCAGGGUUCGAUUCCGGAGAGGGAGCCUGAGAAACGGCUACCACUUCCAAGGGAGGCAGCAGGCGCGCAAAUUACCCACUCCCAGCACGGGGAGGUGGUGACGAAAAAUACCGAUGCGGGACUCCUUAAAGAGGCUCCGUAAUCGGAAUGAGUGGACUCUAAAUCCCUUUCACGAGGAUCCAUUGGAGGGCAAGUCUGGUGCCAGCAGCCGCGGUAACUCCAGCUCCAAUAGCGUAUAUUAAAGUUGCUGCAGUUAAAAAGCUCGUAGUUGGAUCUCGGUCGCAUUUUUGCCUGCUGGUAUUAUUGGGUGACUGCACUGGAGUGUCUCAAGUCCUCGGCGUGUGCUUGGCCUUCUGGUGAAGGGCACGUCGGUGGCGUGAGGUGCUCCCUAAACGGUGUGGUUAUCCCAAGCUGGCAUGGCGAGGAUGUAACCUGUAAGCCAUGUCUGUGGAGUAAUGUCCACAGGUGGACGCGGGUGUCGGGCAGUGCACUGCACUUGUUGUGGAGCCUGUCGGCCCGCGUGCAUGCCCCCUCUGGUGCCCUUAAUAAGGUGUCGGGGGGCGGAUGGCACGUUUACUUUGAACAAAUUUGAGUGCUCAAAUCAGGCCGAUGUUGCCUGAAUAGUUUUGCAUGGAAUAAUGGAAUAGGACUUCGGUUCUAUUUCGUUGGUUUUCGGAUCCGAAGUAAUGAUCAAAAGAGACAGGCGGGGACGUUUGUAUGGCUGCGCUAGAGGUGAAAUUCAUGGACCGUAGCCAGACAAACUAAAGCGAAAGCAUUCGUCAAGCAUGUUUUCAUUGGCCAUGAGCGAAAGUCAGAGGCUCGAAGACGAUCAGAUACCGUCCUAGUUCUGACCAUAAACGAUGCCAACUGACGAUCCGUGGUGGUAGUGUUAACCUUCCCCACGGGCAGUCCCCGGGAAACCUUUAAGUCUUUGGGUUCCGGGGGAAGUAUGGUUGCAAAGCUGAAACUUAAAGGAAUUGACGGAAGGGCACCACCAGGAGUGGAGCCUGCGGCUUAAUUUGACUCAACACGGGAAAACUCACCCGGGCCGGACACUAUGAGGAUUGACAGAUUGAUAGCUCUUUCUUGAUUUGGUGGUUGGUGGUGCAUGGCCGUUCUUAGUUGGUGGAGCGAUUUGUCUGGUUAAUUCCGAUAACGAACGAGACUCCAGCCUGCUAAUUAGUGCAUUUGUCCACUGCACCUGUGAGGCGGCGCUGAAUGCGGCUGCUAGUGGGCCUCGGUUCACUUGGUUGGCUAGUCAGGCGGCGUCAGUCUCCGGAGGCGGCGCGAAUGCUCACUUCUUAGAGGGACAAGCGGGAGAAGCCGCACGAAAUAGAGCAAUAACAGGUCUGUGAUGCCCUUAGAUGUCCGGGGCCGCACGCGCGCUACAAUGGCGGUGUCAACGAGUCUGACCUUCUGGCCCGAAAGGGUUGGAUAAACUGGUCAAUCACCGUCAUGACAGGGAUCGGGGCUUGGAAUUGUUCCCCGUGAACGAGGAAUUCCUAGUAAGUGCAAGUCAUAAGCUUGCGCUGAUUACGUCCCUGCCCUUUGUACACACCGCCCGUCGCUACUACCGAUUGAAUGGUUUAGUAAGGUCCUUGGAUCGGCGCCUUUGUAGCUGCCACCGAAAGGUGUUCUGCUCGUCUGGUGCUGAGAAGACGACCAAACUUGAUCAUUUAGAGGAAGUAA
rnacentral:rRNA from 1 species